GGGGUUGUAGCUCAGUAGUGGAGCACUUGCCUAAAAUGCAUGAGGUCCUGGGUUUGAUCCUCAGCACCA
rnacentral:tRNA from 1 species